rnacentral:misc_RNA from 1 species
UCUAAGAAUCAUGAGUUAUAAGAAGUCUGUAUCUGCCACAAAAAAUGCAACCAUCUCGAUACAAGUAUUUCAUCAGAACUGUUUAGGUUGGACUUUUUGUAGAAAUUGGAUGAUUCAGAACACAAUGUUGGUUCUUUGUAAUAAUCUCAACAGAAGCAAGUACACUAUCACUAUGCUUCUGUUUUUUUUUCUGACAAACAAUAGUCUAUCUUUCAUCGUUAGAAACCACAAAAGAGUAGAUGCUUGUAAAGUUUCAAUCACUCAGGAGGCAGUUUGCCAUUCAGGAAUGCCGAGAACAGGCUGAGCGCUCUUUGGGGUUGGUAGGUAGGAACCAUAUGUCCAGCUCCCCGGACUGUUGCAAAUAUCAGACCUUUGUACUCAACAACAUAGCCUCCAACCUGCCAUCUCAUAAAGAAACAACUUCAGAAUCUU